rnacentral:rRNA from 1 species
GACGAACGCUGGCGGCGUGCUUAACACAUGCAAGUCGAACGGAGAGGCCCUGCUUGCAGGGUACUCGAGUGGCGAACGGGUGAGUAACACGUGGGUGAUCUGCCCUGCACUUCGGGAUAAGCCUGGGAAACUGGGUCUAAUACCGGAUAGGAGCCAUUUUUAGUGUGAUGGUUGGAAAGUUUUUUCGGUGUAGGAUGAGCUCGCGGCCUAUCAGCUUGUUGGUGGGGUAAUGGCCUACCAAGGCGGCGACGGGUAGCCGGCCUGAGAGGGUGGAAGGCCACAUUGGGACUGAGAUACGGCCCAGACUCCUACGGGAGGCAGCAGUGGGGAAGAUUGCACAAUGGGCGCAAGCCGGAUGCAGCGACGCCGCGUGGGGGAUGACGGCCUUCGGGUUGUAAACUCCAUUCGCUAGGGACGAAGCUUUUUGUGACGGUACCUAGAUAAGAAGCACCGGCUAACUACGUG